rnacentral:rRNA from 1 species
GAUGAACGCUGACAGAAUGCUUAACACAUGCAAGUCGAUGGGGAAGUGGUGCUUGCACCAUGGUAACCAUGGCGGACGGGUGAGUAACACGUAAGGAACUUACCUGCGGGACCGGGAUAACAGCAGGAAACUGCUGACAAGACCGGAUAAGGUCAUUAAGCUGCAUAGCUUAGUGAUGAAAGGAGACGCCUGCGGAGAGCCUUGCGUCCUAUUAGCUAGUUGGAGGGGUAAAGGCCCACCAAGGCGAAGAUAGGUAGCCGGCCUGAGAGGGUGGACGGCCACAAGGGGACUGAGAUACGGCACUUACUCCUACGGGAGGCAGCAGUGGGGAAUAUUGGACAAUGGGGGCAACCCUGAUCCAGCAAUUCUGUGUGCACGAAGACGGUUUUCGGAUUGUAAAGUGCUUUCAGCAGGGAAGAAGGAAGUGACGGUACCUGCAGAAGAAGCGACGGCUAAAUACGUG